GAGCAUCCUCCCCUUGCUGUGCUCCUCUGGUCUCCAAGGCACCCUCCCCAUGCGCUGCUUCCUUCCACUUACCGCCCUCGCACGGCACCACAUCCUGAGCUCUGCUUGUUCCCUCUUCAGACUGGCAGGUGGUUAUAGAGGUGUUUGGGGUGUCAGCUCUGAAAUGCUAAAAAUAAAACCAGGCUUUCUAUCCUGGGAUGUCUCAUUAGUUUGCUUACAAAUGAGUCCCCCUGCAGUUUUUCAGCAAUUGGCUAACAAGCUCUAAUUUGAGCGUUUGGGCUGGACCUUGGCUCAGUGGGAGCAGACGCGGAGCAGACGCCUUCUCGGAGCUGCCUGUUUGGGGAAGCUGGUCGUUUCCACUCUAGCUCAGCCUCCCAGAACAGGGAAGCUGCAGGAAAGUUGACAAAAGCACAGCAAAGCAGGGAGAGCCUCCUCGGUAGAGAGCAACGACCAGUCCUUCUAGGUCAUGUGGAGUGGGCCAGCUUUAAUGAACCUGUCUAAAAGGAAGGAAGAGAAAGAGCUCAGCUCCUUAGGGGAACAAGGUGGACCUUGGCAGCUGUCUCACUCCUCACCAGCUCUUCACCUCAGAUCUUGUCCUGACUUCCUGGUCCACUAACGGCCUCCUGGAUAGAAGAGUCAGGCAGAGAACAAAGAUUGGUGGCUUCCUCCUGAGCACACUGGGAUGUGGCAUUACAUCGGGGCUGCUGAGUGCCCUUACCUUCAGCUGCCCAGAUGCAGAGGCAGGUAUUUGGCUAGAAGUUAUCACUGAUACGUUUCCAGAACACAUGGAGGCCAAGGCAGACAAAAGUAAAGAUGGAAACCAGACCAGUAAAUAAGUCCUUUGAUGAACUUCUGAGUCUCUACAGAUGAAGGCAAAGCUCCCUCACAGUUGCAGGCAACGUCUCAUCUUUUGUCACUUCUGGCAUGACACUGCACAGCCACAGCCAGUACGGUAUCUCUGCCUUUGCCCAUGUCCUGCCUUCUUUCUCCCUGGUCGGUAUCUCCUCACCUCAACCAGCUUGGCCAGCUCCUUGGUCAUUGGGGUUGCACCCACCCAGGCAUGUGCCUGGCUCCGCACAACCUCAGAAGCUCUCAGUACAGUGCAGGACCAGAGGUUGAAACCAAUGAAAGGUUGUUAAAUAAAGAGAAAAUGUUUAAUGCUGAGAACAAAGACUAGGAAAGAGAUGUCUAAUAAGAAAUUUUACAGUGAAAUAC
ensembl:lncRNA LINC00544 long intergenic non-protein coding RNA 544